rnacentral:tRNA from 1 species
UCCUGGAGGACUAGAGGUUAGGCCUCGGUGCUCUCACCGCCACAGCCGGGGUUCGAUUCCCAGUCAGGGAA